GGAAUAUAAAAUCUAAGAAUAGGCUUCUAACUUAAUUCUUUAGCAGUGAAAAUCUGUUAAUAUUUCU
rnacentral:tRNA from 1 species